rnacentral:lncRNA from 1 species
GUGGGGAUAGCAGUUCUUGGAAGGGUUUGCUCUCUUUUAAGAAAUGAAGACAGAGUCUGUAUUGUUCCUCGGGAAGUUGUUGUCUCUGGAUGUAAAGCCUCGAAUUUCAGCAGUAAUCUUUCCCUGGUCUGAGGUUGAGGCCAGAACCAGGACAAUAGAUUUUUCAUUAGGAGAUUCACCAACUUCUACUUCUGGACCUUCUUUUUUCUGAUACAUUUUCUUAUUCUCUUAUAGGCAACUUGUGUCAAGUUCUGAUUCUUGCAGCCAAAACCAUCGUUUCUGAGAUAGGGAGGUUUCCUUGAAAAUGAUGAAAGAAAGAACACCUGUGGGAAACUGAGGUUGCAGGGCAAAACUCCACCCUGAAAUCUGGAGAGACAGGCAAAUCAAGAGAGACCCAGCAGAGAUCUGUUUACCUGGAGCAGAAAUUGCUGGAACCAUGAACUGCCUUUCUUUCCACUAAAAGUGCACAUCUCUGUCUUCCAAUGAUGGAACCACUUGUCUGUCUGACUCCCUCUUCCAUCCGGAAAUGAUUUCAGAAGGAUUAUCACUCCCUGAAGAACUGUAGUGGUUGGUGAGAAUACUAACAGGAAGAACAUAAUCAAGGCUAUUC